UUUUCCCAAAAAUCACAAGCACGCGCAGAAGGUAGCCAAAUCCCUAGAUUCGUUCCCCACGCACGCUGCCUGGGGCUCCCGCCGGUCGAUCCCAUGCCGUCCCACCGCCGCCCCGACACCGCCCGGGGCUACCGCCGGUCGAUCUCGACGCCGUACCAGCGCCGCCCCAUACCGCCAUGCCUCUACAGCGCCGCCCGACGCAGCCAUGCCUCUAAACACCGCCGUGCCUCUAUAGCACCGCUCCACGCCGUCCUGCCCCUUCAGCGCAGCCCAACGUUGUCCUGCAUCUCCACUGCCGGCCCAACGCCUUCCCGCUCUCUCUCCGGGUGGCCGCCUCUCUCCACGGCCACAUCCAGCACAGUUGCCGCCUUCCUCCCUGGCCCGACCUCCCCCAUGUCCACCACGAAAGCACACGCAGCGGUGGCGGCGAUUUGGAUCGGGGCAGCGUGCGGCUGGGCAAGGGCAUCGAUGCGGCUGAGGGAAAGGAUUACUCCGGCGGCGGGGAACGGGGAGCUCCGGCGGUGGGAAACAAGUAGAUGUUCCAGUGGACAAGGCACCUCAUGCUUUUAUUAUUCUCUGGUUCUCCGAUUUGCUGUGUACUGCUGCCAGCUAGUCUGAUUGUGAGAAGCUUUAUGGCAGCGAUAUGAACUAAUUUUAGAAGUUGAGCUGUUGUGUGCAAAUUUUGUUUAUUUCCAGUGCAAAUUUUGUGGUACCGAUAUGAACUAAUCUUUUUUUUCCAUUGGUCAUUUAGUUCACCUUUCACUAAGAGUCAUGUUUACGGUGUUACUCUUGUUAUGCUUCUGCCCAAGAUAAGUAAAUUUUUGCUCUUCCAAAAAGGUUCCCCGGAUAUGUUUCCUGUUUUGUGCUUAGUCUGCCAUGAUGUGUUUAGUCUGCCACCGUGUUUAGUGUCUCAUUGUGCUUGAUAAGAGGAUUGUUCAAAUGUAAAAACUUUCUUUUUACAUGAGAUGACAUGGCUUUUGCCCCCUGUUUUCGCUGACUUGGUUUCUGCAGGUAGCAUAGUGUAUAAUUGCUGGUAACAUUGAGUCGUCAAGGAGAAGUAGCAGGAGGAAAAAUGGCAAGCGCAAGUGGAAGCGGAAAAGCUAAAGGUGGUGGGGGUCAUGGAGGAACAUCUGAAAGCGGUAAGAGGUACAAGUUUGAUGCCGCGCUGAUUGAUGCACAACUUAUGAAAAGAUGUGACAGUAGAAUUAGUGAAGCUGACUGGAAGAACCUUAUUACUUACUGGAGAUCUUCGGUAUUUGAAGCUGUCAAACUUGUCCAUCAGCCUCGAAGAGAUCAAGUUUAUAUCGAGACAAAUACAUGCAAGAAAGGGGAUAAGAAAGGGAGUUAUGUGCCGCAGGCAGAAGCAACAAUUAAAUAUCUCGUAGAGAAAGCUGAAAAGCGCACUGAAUGGAAGGAAAAAGCAUUCAAGAAGGUGAUCUGUUUGCACAUGUAUGUGGAAUGAAGGAGCCAAGGGGUCGUGUUCGUACUUCUGUAUGCAUGGACUGGUCAUGAAACUCCUGUUGCUCAGGCAACAAUUUCCAAAUUUGACCCGCAUUUGGUCAGGCAAGAUAGUGCUAGCUUAAUUUAUGAAUAAUGGAAAAAUAUACUGAGGCUGUGAAGAAGGCUGCCAUCGAGACAAAGAGCGAGCACCCCAAGGAUUAAUGCGUGGCAUAGAAGGAAUGGCUAAAGAUACGCGCGCUUUUAAAAUUUCUAGAAGGGUACCCCUUUUCCUGUCAGUGGUAAUGAAUUCUCUUGAGUUGCUUUGAUGUUCAAGCUAGAGAAUGUUCUCCAAUGAGAUGAAGGAUGAAGGCUUUGAUAUCAAGUGCGAGAACGAUGCAACGAUCUUGCUGGAAGGCUGUGAGGAUGGGUAUGUAGUUGCCCACUACAACGAGCCAAGGUAGAUGAUGUAUUGCAGAAAACAAAGCGACAAACUUUUGCUCUCAGACAGUGAACUAUCAUGUUUCCUCUAUUUAAUUAGUUACAUUAGUUUAUUUAUAGGAAACUUGGCUGGCCAUUCGUUCAUAACUAUUGAACUAUUUAUAUGUGAAAAUUAAUGAAUUUGUGUGACUAUUGUUUGGUUCUGGUUUAA